GGCCUUUGCCCUUUACUCCAGCACUGCCUGCUGCUUGGCGGUUGCGCAGUCCGUUGACAUGGCCACGCGGUCUCAAAAGCAGACACGAGCACGGCAAUCCCAACGCCUUCUUUUUUCAUGUUGUCAAUAAAGUAUUGUUCAGGGGAUUCAUAAGUCUUUGUGACUCAUGCUGGGAGACAUCUUACCUUCAAGUGGCUUUCAUUGUGUCAUCUUUUCCCAAAUUGAUGUCUUCAAAGUCACCCGUGGGCCCAGAAUUUCCAAUAACCCAAUUUCAUCUUUUCUUGGGGAUCAUGGAGGACUUACUUCAUGAAGAACCCUGCUGCGUGAGCUACGUAUGAUGGAAGAGCAGUUCCGAACACGCCAGCAAAUUGAUCCUGACCCUGCAGAAAUAGUGCACCCUGUAUUCAGACAACCAGAAUUGCUGCCCAAAGUUAUGCUUCUCACAUGGGCCCUAUCUGAACAGAGAGACUUAAAGUAAAGCAAUUCAUAGGCAGCCAUAGAAGCAGCAUGUAAGAAUUACUUGCAGUCUCACCAGAGAAAAGUAUUUCCCAGAGGAUUUUCUAAUCAAUACUACACCUUUAAAUACAUGAAAUGGACUGAGGA